GGCAAAGCCGACUAGGUAAAUUUGCUCUACUCAAUUGUUACAACCUGUUUUGGCUGGCACUUGAUGUUUCAGUAGAAUUUGACAGUUAGUAUUGGAUAUAUGCUUGAAAGCUACUUGCAUGUGUCUCAAUAAGUUGAAUUGACCACCUUGCUAUCUGAUAUUAUUAAAUCACUUGAAAUGUUGCGACGGCUCCCACAGUCACAUAAUAUUGCCAAAUAUUUACUCAUCUUAUUCGCUUUAGCAAGGUCAAUGUUAUUCACUUCCAUUUGUGUGUUGAACAUUGUUGAUUUCAUUUUGUAAACACUUCUUCAUACAGUAUGCAUCCUCUGCUUUCUCACUUGUAUUUUUCCUAUUAUUAGUGGUGUCGUUAAAAAGGAUUAUAAUAAAACUUGAAUAGUAUAUGAAGGUAAUUAUGUCAUUGUAAUGACGAACAUUGGAAAA